CUAUCAAUAACCCCAAAACCACCGACCAUUAAAUAACAAACCAUUUUUCCCCCCAAGUAUGGGCGACAGAAAAGGAUGACCCCUGAGCCAUAAAAAAGUACCGCAAGGGAACGCUGAAAAAGAAAUGAAAUAAAUCAGUAAAGUUAAAAAAAGCAGAGACUUACACUCGUACCUUUUGCAUCAUGACUUAGCUAGUAAAAAUCAAGCAAAAGGCACUUUAGUUUGACUUCCCGAAACUAAGUGAGCUACCCCAAGACAGCCUAAAAGUAGGGCUAACCCGUCUCUGUGGCAAAAGAGUGGGAUGAUCUUAGGGUAGAGGUGACAAACCUAUCGAACUUAGUCAUAGCUGGUUGCCUAAGAAAUGAAUAGGAGUUCAGCUUUUUGGUUUUUCUUCCCAAAUUUAUUUUAUUUGCACUGACUCAGAAAACACCAAAAAAGUUAAUUAAAGGGGGUACAGCUCCUUUAAAAAAGAUACAACUUCAUCAGCCGGGUAAGGAUCAUAAUUAUUAAGGCAAAAAUGUUUUAGUGGGCCUGAAAGCAGCCACCUACAAGAAAGCGUUAAAGCUCCUUCAUACCUCCGCCGUCAAUUUAGAUAACAAUAUCCCAAACCUCUAAUUUUAUUAGGCCUCCCCAUGCCCACAUGGGGGCGAUUCUGCUAAUAUGAGUAAUAAGAAAAAUUCAGUUUUUCUCCUUGCAUGCGUGUAAAUCGAAACGGACCACCCACCGAAUUUUAUCGGCCCCAAAAAGAGGGUAAUGAGCCACCAACCCAAAUAACAAGAAAAAUACCCAGAAGUUAACCGUUAACCCCACACUGGUGUGCCUACAAGGAAAGACUAAAAGAAAAAGAAGGAACUCGGCAAAUACAAGCCUCGCCUGUUUACCAAAAACACCGCCUCUUGUAUACAAUAAGAGGUCA
rnacentral:rRNA from 1 species